UGGGGAAUAUUGCACAAUGGGGGAAACCCUGAUGCAGCGACGCCGCGUGAACGAAGAAGGUAUUCGUAUCGUAAAGUUCUGUCCUAUGGGAAGAUAAUGACAGUACCAUAGAAGAAAGCCCCGGCUAAAUACGUGCCAGCAGCCGCGGUAAUACGUAUGGAGCGAGCGUUGUCCGGAAUUAUUGGGCGUAAAGGGUACGCAGGCGGUUUAAUAAGUCGAAUGUUAAAGAUCGGGGCUCAACCCCGCAAAGCAUUGGAAACUGAUAAACUUGAGUAGUGGAGAGGAAAGUGGAAUUCCUAGUGUAGUGGUGAAAUACGUAGAUAUUAGGAGGAAUACCAGUAGCGAAGGCGACUUUCUGGACACAAACUGACGCUGAGGUACGAAAGCGUGGGGAGCAAACAGG
rnacentral:rRNA from 1 species